rnacentral:rRNA from 1 species
CCUACGGGAGGCAGCAGUGAGGAAUAUUGGACAAUGGGCGCAAGCCUGAUCCAGCCAUGCCGCGUGCAGGAAGACGGUCCUAUGGAUUGUAAACUGCUUUUGUACAGGAAGAAACACUCCCUCGUGAGGGAGCUUGACGGUACUGUAAGAAUAAGGAUCGGCUAACUCCGUGCCAGCAGCCGCGGUAAUACGGAGGAUCCAAGCGUUAUCCGGAAUCAUUGGGUUUAAAGGGUCCGUAGGCGGUUUAAUAAGUCAGUGGUGAAAUCUGGUCGCUCAACGAUCAAACGGCCAUUGAUACUGUUAGACUUGAAUUAUUAGGAAGUAACUAGAAUAUGUAGUGUAGCGGUGAAAUGCUUAGAUAUUACAUGGAAUACCAAUUGCGAAGGCAGGUUACUACUAAUGGAUUGACGCUGAUGGACGAAAGCGUGGGGAGCGAACAGGAUUAGAUACCCUGGUAGUCCACGCCGUAAACGAUGGAUACUAGCUGUUCGGAGCAAUCUGAGUGGCUAAGCGAAAGUGAUAAGUAUCCCACCUGGGGAGUACGUUCGCAAGAAUGAAACUUAAAGGAAUUGACGG